UACGGAGGAUCCGAGCGUUAUCCGGAUUUAUUGGGUUUAAAGGGUGCGUAGGCGGAAAUGUAAGUCAGUGGUGAAAUCCUGCAGCUUAACUGUAGAAUAGCCGUUGAAACUGUGUUUCUUGAGUACAUUUGAGGUAGGCGGAAUGUGGUGUGUAGCGGUGAAAUGCAUAGAUAUACCACAGAACACCGAUUGCUAAGGCAGCUUACUAAACUGUCACUGACGCUGAUGCACGAAAGCGUGGGUAUCAAACAGGAUUAGAUA
rnacentral:rRNA from 1 species